rnacentral:ncRNA from 1 species
GCCCUUGCCCUGCGUGAUGGUUCCCGUUCGGGCCAAGCCCGAUGGGAUUAAAAGGGAACACGGUAAGGGACGACCCAGACAGGGGCCCUCAUCCGUGGCUGCCCCCGCAACUGUGAGCGGCGAGCUCGCGUCCGACAACGCCACUGGGCAUUCGCCCGGGAAGGCAGGGCGCAGGCGACGACCCGCGAGCCAGGAGACCUGCCCACGCCGGCGGCCGCAAG